rnacentral:rRNA from 1 species
UAGGGAAUCUUCGGCAAUGGACGAAAGUCUGACCGAGCAACGCCGCGUGAGUGAAGAAGGUUGGCGGAUCGUAAACCUCUGUUGUAAGAGGAGAACAUGGACGUUAGUAACUGAACGUCCCCUGACGGUAUCUAACCAGAAAGCCACGGCUAACUACCCG